rnacentral:lncRNA from 1 species
CUUUUAUUAUAUUUUUCUCCAUUGUGAAUGAUGUGUUAAUCCUAGUCCAAUAUUUUUUUUUCCAUAUGCUCACUUUUUGUUAUAAAUAAUCUACUGAGUAAUCUACAGUGUUGCUCCUUAUGGAGAGGAGCAAAUGUUAUCUACUUUGGAUAUGCAUAUAAGAAUCUGGUCAAAAUUCAAUGAUUUCUGGACCUCAGCUGGCUCGAGAGGCUGCCAAUCAACCAGGACAUAAACAGAGGGGCUCAGGACCAUGAUGUGCACAGCCAAGGUGCACCUUUCACACUUCCCACAGUGAGUUGCAAUAAUGAGUGCCACACAUGGGAAAUAUGAAAUGUGGAGAUUGAUGAACAGAAUAACUUCAGAGUAGCCACUUGCACCCUAAAGUUACUUUGGAGGAAAGAACUUCAUGAAACUAAGUCAGUGAAAGUCUGUUCCAGGAGUCAUGCCUUCCUUAAUCAAGUCAUUAUGUUCUUGCACUGUUCAGAGGAAGCCAUUAAUAUAUAAGCCAUGGUUUGGACCCUUAGCUGCUUGGAAGAUUAACGAUUAUACACCCUUGUAUAUUAUUCAUAAUUUCUCUAGAUCCUGCUGAAGUAACUUCAGGUCAAAGUUUCAGCAGAAAAAGAAUCAGCAAAUGCAAAUGCAGCACAGUUUUCUGCUGGAUUUGUUAUCUGGUUCAACUAGUCCAAGCAGCUUAAGGAAAAGCUCAGGUCCACACAAAAGCACAUGGAUUUUGGAUAGGAAGACAAUUUCUGAGGUCAGUUUGUGAAAUCUCAGCCCAAUUCAAAGGCUGCUGAUGUCUACAGCAAACUUUGUCAUAAUUUUAUAUAUAAUGGCUAGAGCAUCAUAUUCAAAGAGCAUUGACAAAUAACUUGCAGAGUAAUGACUCUUAUUUCUCUAGGUGUACACAAACAAAAUUCCAUCUGCAGUUACAGAAAGGCAG